ensembl:lncRNA novel transcript
GACAGGGCUGGGUGGGUGGGAUGUGGGGUAUCGGAGCAGGGGCUUUCCAGGAGACACAGGACCUAUCAAAGAGGAGAGCCAGACUCACAAUAAAACCUACCACUGAGGGAAUGCACCACGGACCAGGAUUCAUCUGAGGGACAGCUCUUGGGUUCAGGAGAGAAUCCAUGUAAAGUUCUCAGCCAGCCUGAAAGUUUACUAAUACAAGGCUGAUGAAUCUUAAAGUGCAUUAUUCCUCAUGGUUAAAACGCUGUGUUCAUGCAGUAAUGUAUAAAAUCAUUGUGUGUAGGGUUUCUUCCUGCUUUUCACAGGAUAAAAGAAUCUUCAAAGAGGCCAUACUAUAUAGCAUACUGACCAUAAUGACUAACUGAAGUCAAUUUAUCCCUGUAGAAAAUGGGAGCCAGUAGAGAAAUAUUUGUAGUGCUGUAGCAUAAGCAUGUUUAGUUUUCUUUUAUGUUAGUCUGCUGGGGAAGGAGCUGAGAUAAUGCUAAUGCAUCCUGUUUUGUGGAUGAAUACACGGUAAUGACCUCACAAAGUUCUGUUUGUAAUAUUGAAGGGCCAGUAACCAAUAAGCUCAGUUUUCACAGUCUUCUUUCUUCCUAGUUCUCUUUAUUGCAAAUACUUGCCAGAGUUAGGGUUGGGGCUAGAGUUAUGGAGGAAAAAUCUUCCAUAUACAGUUUUGAAGCAAGAGCCUCUCUAUAUUACACGGUAAAACUGAAGUUUGAUUUUUCUGGGCUGCAUUCUAAACACACUACUGACUAAUUCACUGAGGAACACUCCAAAGCCUAGGCAUGAUGUUAUGUGAGGCUCGCUUUCACUUACAGCUGCAACAGAAGGAUGGUUGUUCUAUUCCAGAAGGAUUUCUCUGCCGUUGGUGCCAGAGAUCCCUUCAUUUUCACUUCAGUUUUGGAAGACCUUGUGGAUGUUAAAAUGCAUCUGGACAAAUUCUCAUUUUCAGUAAAUCUGCUUUGUUGUUGCUGCCGCUGAUUGACAAGGAUUUGAGAAUGACCAUUCUAAAUGCCAGGAUAGCCAUGAUUUAACUUAUGUUCCUGAGUGGAAAUGUGUCCAUACAUCUAAUUUGGCCUUUUUCCUUACUGUGUUACAUUUAGUGACUCCUUUACCAUUUUGCUAGGUCUGUAAUCUUAAAUUGCUUGAUAAUGGAAUGGCUCCAUAACUGAAAUGUUGGCAAUUCUUAUAAGUAAUCUAAAGCAUUCUUCCACUUUAUUUUCAACUUUUGCUAUCUUCUUAAGCCUUCCUUUAAUGUUUAUAAUAGUAACAAAUAUUUUAGUUAUAUAUGACCUGUAUAUUGUUUUUGAACAGCAUAUAUAUAUAUAUAUAUAUGCAUUUACAGUCAGGGUAACACAUUUGGCAUUUUGCAACAAUUUAUUUCCCUAAUAACAUAGUUUUAAUGAAAUUAAUAGUUUUUCAACUUUAGAUUUAAUGCACUUCAACUACAGGAUGCAACCUGUCGUCUUAGAAAAUUUCUCCAAAACUCUAAUUUAAUUUUUAUAUGUAAUAUUCAUUCUACUCUUCUUGCUACAAAAGUAUUGAAUCUGUUAAAAGGGAUGGGAAAUAUUUCUACUGACAGUAGAAGUGUAUUUGGGGGGAAAUGCAAUAUACUUAUCACAUCAGACUCCCGUGGGAUUUUAUUUGGUGGUUUUAAUGUUAGCCUUUUUCAUAUCACAUGCCUUUCUGGGCACUUCCAGCUUGUGAAACAAGGCAUCAUGGCACAGCCUGUCUAGGUGAUGCUGUUGUUGGAUUUUGCCCUUGCUAUUCUCCACUGUACUCCAAAGUUUACUUACAGAAAAGCAUGGGCUGCGUUAACAAAGCAUCUCACGAUCCUACAGCAAACACUGUGGGCCAAUUUUUAACUUGUUGCAUGUUAUGCUGUAGUAUCCAUAGGUAGUUUGUUUUCAAACAAAGUACAGGUGUGCAUUUCUUUAAAAAAGCAGUUAUGAGUAAUGUUUAAACUAUCCAUAGAGCUAGGAUAGGGGUUUACUAUUUAAUAGCUGGCCUGUUGCCAGUGCUCCUUUGAAUAUAGAGUACUGCUGCUUAAAGCAGGAAUAACAAAAGAUGCUGUUUUACAUAAGGCUACUCAAUACCCUGAUAAAUUACUGGUCUACUAAGGUGAAUCUGUAUCUGAAUUUUAUUUUCAAAGAGGAUGAAAAGAUUGUUUUAAUACAUACUGUUUUGACAUUUCUACCAA